rnacentral:rRNA from 1 species
UAGAGAGAGACAUGCGCGCAUAUCAAUAAGCGGAGGAAAAGAAACUAACAAGGAUUCCCUUAGUAACGGCGAGUGAAGCGGGAAGAGCUCAAAUUUGAAAUCUUCAAGGUUUUACCUUGACGAAUUGUAGUUUAAGGAAGUGUUUUCUGCUGAAGUUUUGGUAAAAGUUCUUUGGAAUAGGACAUCAUAGAGGGUGAGAAUCCCGUAUUUGACCAUUAUUUUCAGCUUUGUGAUACACUUUCAAAGAGUCGGAUUGUUUGGGAAUGCAGUCCAAAAUGGGUGGUAAAUUUCAUCUAAAGCUAAAUAUUGGCGAGAGACCGAUAGCGAACAAGUACCGUGAGGGAAAGAUGAAAAGAACUUUGAAAAGAGAGUUAAACAGUACGUGAAAUUGUCAAAAGGGAAGCGUUUGACACCAGUGUUGUUUUCUCGAAAAUCAAUUAAAAAUGGCUCGAUUUUGUAUUGCUUGAGACCUUAAAAGCUCACUGUACAUUUUUCGUGUCUUUUUUAAUGCACUUUUCGUUUAACAAGUCAACAUCAGUUUCUUUUGUUGUAAAAGGGUCAUUGGAAGGUGGCUUUCUUUUCGGAGAAAGUGUUUAUAGCCUUUGGCCUCUGCAAUCGAAGAGACUGAGGUCUGCAGCGUAGACUCUUCGGGGUUAGAUACAUUUGUGCUAAGUUAUAGCUUUUUAUAGACAACUUGUUGACUAUAAUUAGUCUUGUAGCUUACUCGCUUAUGCUAUUUUACCUACGCUUAGGAUGUUGAAGAUGUAGCACAUCAU